CCGCUAGGGAUAGUGUGAUAAAUGUGAAAGUGAAAAGAAUGUACACGUGUGGUAAUAACAGGAGACGAAUAUGAUAGCUGAGUGUUGAGUUAAAAGAUUUGAAUAUUAUAACAGUGUAGAACUUUAAAAAUUGUCUGCUAGGAAUAGUGUAAUUAACUUGGUCUACAUUACGACUGAAAGGGAAAAGAAUGUACACGUGUGGUAAUAACAGGAGACGAAUAUGAUAGCUGAGUGUUGAGUUAAAAGAUUUGAAUAUUAUAACAGUGUAGAACUUUAAAAAGGGUCUGCUGGGAAUAGUGUAAUUAACUUGGUCUAUAUUACGACUGCAAGGGGAAAGAAUGUAUACUUGUAGUUAUAACAGGAGACGAAUGUUAGAGUUGAGUGUUGAGUUAAAAGAUUUGAAUAUUAUAACAGUGUAGAACUUUAAAAAUUGUCAGCUUGGAAUAGUAUAAUUAACGUGGUCUGUAUUACGACUGAAAGGGGAAAGAAUGUACACGUUUAGCAAUGGCAGGAGACGAAUGUGAGAGUUGAGUGUUGAGUUAAAAGAUUUGAAUAUUAUAACAGUGUAGAACUUUAAAAAUUGUCAGCUGGGAAUAGUGUAAUUAACUUGGUCUAUAUUAGGACUGCAAGGGGAAAUAAUGUACACGAGUAAUAACCACGAGACGAAUGUUAGAGUUGAGUGUGAAUUUAAAAGAUUUGAAUAUUAUAACAGUGUAGAACUUUAAAUAAGGUCUGCUAGGAAUAGUGUAAUUAACUUGGUCUACAUUACGACUGAAAGGGAAAAGAAUGUACACGUUUAGCAAUAACAGGAGACGAAUAUUAGAGUUGAGUGUUAAGAUAAAAGAUUCGAAUAUUAUAACAGUGUAGAACUUUAAAAAGGGUCUGCUGGGAAUAGUGUAAUUAACGUGGUCUGUAUUACGACUGCAAGGGGAAAGAAUGUACACGUUUAGCAAUAGCAGGAGACGAAUAUGAUAGCUGAGUGUUACAUAAGAAAAAAAAGAAUAUUAUAACAGUGAAGAACUUUAUAAAGGGCUUGGUAGGAAGAACAAAAAAGUAUUGAAACGUUGUGUAUAUUUCUUUUGAAGUGAAUAACAAAGAAAUUAAAUAUCCUGAUAAUCUUACUAACAGGCUGACACACACACACACACACACACACACACACACACACAGACACACACAUACUAAUUAGCACCCAGAAUACACCUUAACCUUACCUUACCCUCUCCCUCCCUCCCCCUUUCCUCACCUCUUCGCCAGGUAACUCAAGUAAGUGUGAGGUGAAGGUAAACACACACACACACACACACACACACACACACACACACACACACACACACACACACACACACACACACACACACACACACACACACACACACACACA